UACGAAGGGUGCAAGCGUUACUCGGAAUUACUGGGCGUAAAGCGUGCGUAGGUGGUUUGUUAAGUCUGAUGUGAAAGCCCUGGGCUCAACCUGGGAAUUGCAUUGGAUACUGGCAGGCUAGAGUGCGGUAGAGGAUGGCGGAAUUCCCGGUGUAGCAGUGAAAAUGCGUAGAGAUCGGGAGGAACAUCUGUGGCGAAGGCGGCCAUCUGGACCAGCACUGACACUGAGGCACGAAAGCGUGGGGAGCAAACAGG
rnacentral:rRNA from 1 species